UCAAGGGCUAUGCCACCCUGAAAACACCUGAUCUCAUCUGAUCUGGGAAACUAAGCAGGGUCAGGCCUGGUUAGUACUUGGAUGGGAGACUCUUUAAAUGAAUUGAGUAGACCCUCUGAA
ensembl:rRNA 5S_rRNA 5S ribosomal RNA